rnacentral:rRNA from 1 species
AUGGCUCAGAACGUACGCUGGCGGCACGCUUAACACAUGCAAGUCGAACGAAGUAGCAAUACUUAGUGGCAGACGGGUGAGUAACAUGUGGGUAUCUGCCCUUUGGCCUGGAAUAACACGAGGAAACUUGUGCUAAUACCGGAUAAGUCUUUACGGAGAAAGCUUUAUGCACCAUUGGAUGAGCCCGCACUUGAUUAGUUUGUUGGUGGGGUAAUGGCCUACCAAGACUGUGAUCAAUAGCUGAUUUGAGAGGAUGAUCAGCCACAUUGGGACUGAGACACGGCCCAAACUCCUACGGGAGGCAGCAGUGGGGAAUCUUGCACAAUGGAGGAAACUCUGAUGCAGCGAUGCCGCGUGAGUGAAGAAGGCCCUUGGGUUGUAAAGCUCUUUCGUCGGGGAAGAAAAUGACUGUACCCGAAUAAGAAGGUCCGGCUAACUUCGUGCCAGCAGCCGCGGUAAUACGAAGGGACCUAGCGUAGUUCGGAAUUACUGGGCUUAAAGAGUUCGUAGGUGGUUGAAAAAGUUAGUGGUGAAAUCCCAGAGCUUAACUCUGGAACUGCCAUUAAAACUUUUCAGCUAGAGUAUGAUAGAGGAAAGCAGAAUUUCUAGUGUAGAGGUGAAAUUCGUAGAUAUUAGAAAGAAUACCAAUUGCGAAGGCAGCUUUCUGGAUCAUUACUGACACUGAGGAACGAAAGCAUGGGUAGCGAAGAGGAUUAGAUACCCUCGUAGUCCAUGCCGUAAACGAUGUGUGUUAGACGUUGGAAAUUUAUUUUCAGUGUCGCAGCGAAAGCGAUAAACACACCGCCUGGGGAGUACGACCGCAAGGUUAAAACUCAAAUGAAUUGACGGGGACCCGCACAAGUAGUGGAGCAUGUGGUUUAAUUCGAAGAUACGCGCAGAACCUUACCAACACUUGACAUGUUCGUCGCGACUCUAAGAGAUUAGAGUUUUCGGUUCGGCCGGACGAAACACAGGUGCUGCAUGGCUGUCGUCAGCUCGUGUCGUGAGAUGUUGGGUUAAGUCCCGCAACGAGCGCAACCCUCACUUUUAGUUGCCAUCAUUAAGUUGGGCACUCUGAAAGAACUGCCAGUGAUAAGCUGGAGGAAGGUGGGGAUGACGUCAAGUCCUCAUGGCCCUUACGUGUUGGGCUACACACGUGCUACAAUGGUAUCUACAACAGGAAGCAAGACUGCGAGGUCAAGCAAAUCCUUAAAAGAUACCUCAGUUCGGAUUGCACUCUGCAACUCGAGUGCAUGAAGCUGGAAUUACUAGUAAUCGUGGAUCAGCGUGCCACGGUGAAUGCGUUCCCGGGUCUUGUACACACCGCCCGUCACACCAUGGGAGUUGGUUCUACCUUAAGGCAAGG